CGAAUUCGCUUGACAUAGGUUAUUCGCUAUGAAGCCCUACGCCAUCUUGGCUCUCCUCAUCCUGGGGCAUUUGUGCCACAUUCAAGCAGCCACGCUAACCAAGCCAGCAACGAGCCCGGACGACGCGAGGAAGCUACUCGCCGAGCAACUUUCCCAUUCCAUCAUGGAACACCGUGAAGAACUCAUUGAGGCUCUCGAAGCAAUCGACACCACAGGCGACGAAACCGAUGAGCAGGGCUUUCCGCUCGUAAUUGCGGCUAUAGUGGCGUCCAUUUUAACACCCGCUAUGGCAGCAGGUGCUGGAGCAACAGUGGGGUAGGCAGUUA